AGAUGGUGAUUGCCCUCUUUGUUGUCUGGUGUUCUUUAUGUUCCCUACAGGAGCUGCCGAUACAAAGGCCUGACCCAGAAGAAAUUCUGCGUCACCUGUACCAUCAAGAUCAAGAUCAAGACCGGCGCUGCCGCCACAACCACCCCCUCUUGUGGCAGGGGCCGGCAGGGACGCGCUGGGACGCAUCCUCUUCACCGACCCACACAAAUACAAGGACGCCAUAUACAAGAGGUGGACACAGCGGGAAAAGAAGAAAAAAGAACUUCAACAUUAGCGGAACAAAGAACGAGAAGAAGUAAGGAGCUUCCGUUGCAACAUCUACAUCUACAUCUACCACUAAUGGCCACCGGGAUACGUGUCUUAUUUAAUGAUUUCCGAGGCCCCUGGCGGUCAUGGAGGGCGGUGAGCAGUGCCUGGGGUCAUGUUGCUUGUGUGGCCGGUGUGAAUGUGACCGGGGGCUUGGCAGGGGUGAUGGGAGGCUUGGCAAGGGUGGCAGGGGGGCGAGGUACAGAAAAUACCCCCCGGCGUACAUGCCCUCAAAACUGCAGGAGAUGGAGGACAGCGGGGAGAUGAAGGAAUUUGAGUAGCGGGCGGUCCGAGUGGCCCACAGCACCCACACCACCUCCGUACUCCACCACCCGCUUGUCAGGAAAUUCACCAACCACAUCAUGAAAACAGGAAACAAACCUCUGGCCAGGGAACUUGUCGAGAAGGUCAAAGGUCACAACUAGCCAGCCGGGAGUGGGUCAGGAUGGCACGGCUGGCUGUGGUGGUGGUGGUGGUGGUAUUGGUGUUGGCGGCAGCAGCGGCGGGAAGGCCAGACUACACGCUGUCCCAAAAUUUAUUGAAAUGUUGCAGA